CAGAACGAACGCUGGCGGUGGGCUUGACACAUGCAAGUUGAACGCACUUUCUUCGGAAAGUGAGUGGCGAAAGGGUGAGUAAUACAUAGAUUAUCUACCUACAGGAGGGGCAUAACGCUGGGAAACCAGCGCUAAUUCCGCAUAAUGAUCCGCAAGGAAAAAGAUUUUAUCGCCUGUAGAUGAGUCUAUGCCAGAUUAGAUUGUCGGUGAGGUAAUGGCUUACCGAGUCUUUGAUCUGUAGCUGGUCUGAGAGGAUGAUCAGCCACACUGGGACUGAGAUACGGCCCAGACUUCUACGGAAGGCAGCAGUGAGGAAUAUUGGACAAUGGGCGAAAGCCUGAUCCAGCCAUACCGCGUGAGUGACGACAGCCUUUGGGUUGUAAAGCUCUUUCAGUAGGGAAGAUUAUGACGGUACCUACAGAAGAAGCACCGGCUAAUUCCGUGCCAGCAGCCGCGGUAAUACGGAAGGUGCUAGCGUUGUUCGGAAUUACUGGGCGUAAAGGGUGUGUAGGCGGAUCUGUAAGUCAGCAGUGAAAUCCCCAAGCUCAACUUGGGAACUACUGCAGAUACUGCAGGUCUGGAGUAUGAUAGAGGAUAGCGGAAUACCCAGUGUAAAGGUGAAAUUUGUUGAUAUUGGGUGGAACACCGAAUGCGAAGGCAGCUAUCUGGAUCAUUACUGACGCUGAGACACUAAAGCGUGGGGAGCAAACAGGAUUAGAUACCCUGGUAGUCCACGCCCUAAACGAUGUGUGCUAACUAUCGGAGUCCUAAGGGCUUCGGUCGUGAAGCUUACGCGUUAAGCACACCGCCU
rnacentral:rRNA from 1 species